rnacentral:tRNA from 1 species
CUUGGGAUGUGCUCAGUGGUAGAGUGCUUGUCUUAUAUACAUGAGGCCCUGGGUUCAAUCCCCAAUACUAAAA